rnacentral:rRNA from 1 species
CAGAAAAAAAACAAAAAAAACCGAUUCGCAAAGGACCUUACUAAGCUAUAAUUGACGCUAGAUGCACGACCCGCUUGGGUAGUGAACAGGAUUAGAUACCCUGGUAGUCCACGCCGUAAACGAUGAUUACUCGUUGUUGGCAAUACAUAGUCAGCGACUGAGCGAAAGCAUUAAGUAAUCCACCUGGGGAGUACGUUGGCAACAAUGAAACUCAAAGGAAUUGACGGGGGCCCGCACAAGCGGAGGAACAUGUGGUUUAAUUCGAUGAUACGCGAGGAACCUUACCUGGACUUAAAUGUAGAUUGACAGGACUAGAGAUAGUUUUUUCUUCGGACAAUUUACAAGGUGCUGCAUGGUUGUCGUCAGCUCGUGCCGUGAGGUGUCGGGUUAAGUCCCAUAACGAGCGCAACCCCUAUUUUUAGUUACCAGCACGUGAAGGUGGGGACUCUAGAAAGACUGCCUGGGUAACCAGGGAGGAAGGUGGGGAUGACGUCAAAUCAGCACGGCCCUUACGUCCAGGGCUACACACGUGUUACAAUGGUCGGUACAGAGGGCAGCUACAUGGCAACAUGAUGCUAAUCUCGAAAGCCGGCCUCAGUUCGGAUCGGAGUCUGCAACUCGACUCCGUGAAGCUGGAUUCGCUAGUAAUCGCAUAUCAGCCAUGAUGCGGUGAAUGCGUUCCCGGGCCUUGUACACACCGCCCGUCAAACCAUGGAAGUUGAGGGUACCUGAAGUCUGUUACCGAGAGGAGCGGCCUAGGGUAAAAUCGAUAACUAGGGUUAAGUCGUAACAAGGUAGCCGUACCGGAAGGUGUGGCUGGAUCACCUCCUUUCU